rnacentral:rRNA from 1 species
GACGAACGCUGGCGGCGUGCCUAAUACAUGCAAGUUGAGCGCUGAAGGUUGGUACUUGUACCGACUGGAUGAGCAGCGAACGGGUGAGUAACGCGUGGGGAAUCUGCCUUUGAGCGGGGGACAACAUUUGGAAACGAAUGCUAAUACCGCAUAAAAACUUUAAACACAAGUUUUAAGUUUGAAAGAUGCAAUUGCAUCACUCAAAGAUGAUCCCGCGUUGUAUUAGCUAGUUGGUGAGGUAAAGGCUCACCAAGGCGAUGAUACAUAGCCGUCCUGAGAGGGUGAUCGGCCACAUUGGGACUGAGACACGGCCCAAACUCCUACGGGAGGCAGCAGUAGGGAAUCUUCGGCAAUGGACGAAAGUCUGACCGAGCAACGCCGCGUGAGUGAAGAAGGUUUUCGGAUCGUAAAACUCUGUUGGUAGAGAAGAACGUUGGUGAGAGUGGAAAGCUCAUCAAGUGACGGUAACUACCCAGAAAGGGACGGCUAACUACGUG